GGUUGUGGCUCAGUGGUAGAGCACUCACCUGACAUGAAUGAGGCACUGGGUUCAAUCCUCAGCACCA
rnacentral:tRNA from 1 species